rnacentral:tRNA from 1 species
AUAAAGAUGGCAGAAAAGUGCAUUAGGUUUAAGCCCUACAUAUAAAGAUUUAAUUUCUUUUCUUUAU